ACCUACGGGGGGCAGCAGUGGGGGAUAUUGCACAAUGGGGGAAACUCUGAUGCAGCGACGCCGCGUGUAGGAAGACGGUCCUCUGGAUUGUAAACUACUGUCCCCAGGGACGAAGAUGACGGUACCUGGGGAGGAAGCUCCGGCUAACUACGUGCCAGCAGCCGCGGUAAUACGUAGGGAGCGAGCGUUAUCCGGAUUUAUUGGGUUUAAAGGGUGCGUAGGCGGUCCGGAAAGUCAGCGGUAAAACCCCGGGGUUCAACCCCGGCGAGCCGUUGAAACUGUCGGACUAGUGACGGCGAGAAGUA
rnacentral:rRNA from 1 species